CUGUGGGGGAAGGGGAACAGCAGGGGACGGGCUGGGGGCAAGCCUCCUGGGCCAGAAGCUCAGGGGCUGGGUAGGAGGGUCCCAUGGAUGGAGGAGGCCUGCAAG